GCCAUAACGAACACUUCAUAUGGGCUCCUUGGUGGUUCAGAAGAGUACUCAAGCAACUGCUUCAAAAACCAUAAAGCUCUGAGCAAUUCUAAGUUUCACUAUGAAAUUCAUCCUCCUUGGGAUUGCUUGUGCAAUUCUAGUAUGAGGACUCAUAUCUUUCUUCAGUUAAGAAAAAUCGAAGUAUUCUUGGCUGGAUUCCACUGAGACUGAUACUUGGAACUAAAUGAGCCACAACUGGUUUCUACUAUAUAGCAAACUGAGAUCAAAUCCGUCAGUCCUCGUGGAAAUCAACCCCGAAUAUUCAUUGGAAGGGCUGUUGCUGAAGCUGAACCUCUAAUACUUUGGUCACCUGAUGUGAAGAGCCCACUCACUGGAAAAGACCCUGAUGCUGGGAAAGAUUGAAGGUAAAAGGAGAAGGGGGCAACAGAGGAUGAGAUGGUUACAUAGCGUCACCAACUCAAUGGACAUGAAUUUGAGCAAAUUUGGGGAGAUAGUGGAGGAAAGAGGAGCCUGGCAUGCUGUAGUCCGUGGGGCUGCAAAGAGUCGGACACUACUUAGUGAC
ensembl:lncRNA